GCGCUUUGGUAACACAAGCUGUACUCAAAGACUCCACACUGGUGAUGUUGCAAGUACCAUACAGCAUUUUUUUUUCUGGGAUGAACAUCCUUCAUUGUGGGAUCUUCACCACAUACAGAACUUGACACCAGAAAUUGAGUGGUUUGGAAUGAAGAGGAGGGAACAGCAUGCAUAGGGCAUACCCUGGAGUUCAUCUUUGGAUGCAAGGUGGGAUGAAGAUCCCAUGAAAAAGCUGAACAUGUGGACAUGAAUUAAAAGCUGUCUUCAAAGC